rnacentral:rRNA from 1 species
UACAGAGGGGGCAAGCGUUGUUCGGAAUUACUGGGCGUAAAGGGCGCGUAGGCGGCCCGCUAAGUCGAACGUGAAAUCCCCCGAGCUCAACUCGGGAACUGCGUCCGAUACUGGCGGGCUUGAAUCCGGGAGAGGGAUGCGGAAUUCCAGGUGUAGCGGUGAAAUGCGUAGAUAUCUGGAGGAACACCGGUGGCGAAGGCGGCAUCCUGGACCGGCAUUGACGCUGAGGCGCGAAAGCCAGGGGAGCAAACGGG